ensembl:lncRNA
UCUCUAUUGUGAUGUGGUGCAACAGCAUAGAGGGGUCUGACUGUGUUCUUUUCCAUUCACAUCCCAUAAUACUGACAGGUAACCAUUAGGAACCAAUGUCUACAUCCCAUAAUACUGACAGGUAACCAUUAGGAACCAAUGUCUACAUCCCAUAAUACUGACAAGUAACCAUUAGGAACCAAUGUCUACAUCCCUACAUCCCAUAAUACUGACAGGUAACCAUUAGGAACCAAUGUCUACAUCACUACAUCACAUAAUACUGAUAGGUAACCAUUAGGAACCAAUGUAUUCAGCUGGCCAGGUUAAACCAGAGUGAAAGCUGUCCCACUGGACACAGACGUCACUACAACAUCUAGUAUUAAGUUGCCAAAUUAGCGUGAAUUCAGAGUCAAAUCAACAAAAGUUCCCCAAAUUCCUGUACGUUGAUGACUUUUUGCAAAUCCAAUCAGUUUUUUCACACCUCUCUGAUUCAGAGGGGUUGAGUUAAAUGUAGGAAGACACAUUUCAGUUGAUUGCAUUCAGUUGUACAACUGACUAGG